rnacentral:piRNA from 1 species
UUUGUUCUUUGUCCUGAGUGUGAGA